rnacentral:rRNA from 1 species
GGAGGGCAAGUCUGGUGCCAGCAGCCGCGGUAAUUCCAGCUCCAAUAGCGUAUAUUAAAGUUGUUGCAGUUAAAAAGCUCGUAGUUGAAUUUCGGGGUUCUUCCGUUGGUCAGGCUAACAAGUCUGUACUAGCGUGUAGAAUCUCUACCUUCUGGGGAACCAUCAUGUUAUUAAUUUAGCGUGGUGGGAAACCAGGACCUUUACCUUGAAAAAAUUAGAGUGUUCAAAGCAGGCUUACGUCUGAAUACAUUAGCAUGGAAUAAUAAAAUAGGACGGUGGUCCUGUUUUGUUGGUUUCUGAAUCACCGUAAUGAUUAAUAGGGAUAGUUGGGGGCAUUAGUAUUCAAUUGUCAGAGGUGAAAUUCUUGGAUUUAUUGAAGACUAACUUCUGCGAAAGCAUUUGCCAAGGAUGUUUUCAUUAAUCAAGAACGAAAGUUAGGGGAUCGAAGACGAUCAGAUACCGUCGUAGUCUUAACCAUAAACUAUGCCGACUAGGGAUCGGACGAUGUUAAAUUUUACUGACUCGUUCGGCGCCUUACGGGAAAC